AAUGAACGCUGGCGGCGUGCCUAGCACAUGCAAGUCGGAUGUGCCGCAAGGUGCAUGGCAGACGGGUGAGUAACGCGUAGGGAAUCUACCUUUUUGUGGGGAAUAACGCUCCGAAAGGAGUGGUAAUACCGCAUGAGACCGUGAGCUGGGAUGUUCACGGUGAAACCUGGGGACCGCAAGGCCUGGGGCAAAAAGAGGAUCCUGCGUCUGAUUAGCUAGUUGGCGGGGUAAUGGCCCACCAAGGCGACGAUCAGUAGCCGGCCUGAGAGGGUGAUCGGCCACACUGGAACUGAGACACGGUCCAGACUCCUACGGGAGGCAGCAGUGGGGAAUUUUGCGCAAUGGACGAAAGUCUGACGCAGCAACGCCGCGUGGGUGAUGAAGGUCUUCGGACUGUAAAACCCUGUCGUCAGGGACGAAGGUGGCAGUGUUAAUAGCGCUGUUACUUGACGGUACCUGGAGAGGAAGCCCCGGCUAACUCUGUG
rnacentral:rRNA from 1 species